rnacentral:rRNA from 1 species
AUUGAACGCUGGCGGAAUGCUUUACACAUGCAAGUCGAACGGCAGCACGGGGGCAACCCUGGUGGCGAGUGGCGAACGGGUGAGUAAUACAUCGGAACGUGCCCGGUCGUGGGGGAUAACGUAGCGAAAGUUACGCUAAUACCGUAUACGAUCUGAGGAUGAAAGCGGGGGACCUUCGGGCCUCGCGCGAUCGGAGCGGCCGAUGUCAGAUUAGGUAGUUGGUGGGGUAAAGGCCUACCAAGCCGACGAUCUGUAGCUGGCCUGAGAGGACGACCAGCCACACUGGGACUGAGACACGGCCCAGACUCCUACGGGAGGCAGCAGUGGGGAAUUUUGGACAAUGGGCGCAAGCCUGAUCCAGCCAUUCCGCGUGCAGGACGAAGGCCUUCGGGUUGUAAACUGCUUUUGUAUGGAACGAAAAGGCUCUGGCUAAUACCUGGGGCUCAUGACGGUACCGUAAGAAUAAGCACCGGCUAACUACGUG